rnacentral:rRNA from 1 species
GACGAACCGUCCAAACGUUAUUCGGAAUCACUGGGCUUACAGAGUUCGUAGGCGGUCUGGAAAGUUGGGUGUGAAAUCCCUCGGCUCAACCUAGGAACUGCGCUUGAAACUACCAGACUCGAGGGAGAUAGAGGAAAGCGGAACUGAUGGUGGAGCGGUGAAAUGCGUUGAUAUCAUCAGGAACACCGGUGGCGAAGGCGGCUUUCUGGGUCUUACCUGACGCUGAGGAACGAAAGCCAGGGGAGCGAACGGG